rnacentral:rRNA from 1 species
UGGGGAAUUUUGGACAAUGGGCGCAAGCCUGAUCCAGCCAUGCCGCGUGCGGGAAGAAGGCCUUCGGGUUGUAAACCGCUUUUGUCGGGGAAGAAAUGCUCUGGGCUAAUACCCUGGGGAGAUGACGGUACCCGAAGAAUAAGCACCGGCUAACUACGUGCCAGCAGCCGCGGUAAUACGUAGGGUGCGAGCGUUAAUCGGAAUUACUGGGCGUAAAGCGUGCGCAGGCGGUUGUGUAAGACAGAUGUGAAAUCCCCGGGCUCAACCUGGGAACUGCAUUUGUGACUGCACAGCUGGAGUGCGGCAGAGGGGGAUGGAAUUCCGCGUGUAGCAGUGAAAUGCGUAGAUAUGCGGAGGAACACCGAUGGCGAAGGCAAUCCCCUGGGCCUGCACUGACGCUCAUGCACGAAAGCGUGGGGAGCAAACAG